rnacentral:rRNA from 1 species
GACGAACGCUGGCGGCGUGCUUAACACAUGCAAGUCGAGCGGUAAGGCCCUUUCGGGGGUACGACGAGCGGCGAACGGGUGAGUAACACGUGGGUGACCUGCCCUCAGCUCUGGGAUAAGCCUGGGAAACUGGGUCUAAUACUGGAUAUGACUCCACGGUGCAUGUCGUGGGGUGGAAAGCCUUGUGCGGCUGAGGAUGGGCCCGCGGCCUAUCAGCUUGUUGGUGGGGUGANGGCCUACCAAGGCGACGACGGGUAGCCGGCCUGAGAGGGCGACCGGCCACACUGGGACUGAGAUACGGCCCAGACUCCUACGGGAGGCAGCAGUGGGGAAUCUUGCGCAAUGGGCGAAAGCCUGACGCAGCGACGCCGCGUGAGGGAUGACGGCCU